AGGUGGCGCUCAAUGGGAGCUUCUCUGGGACCUUCCCCAAGGCUGCCAGAAACCUCGGUCUGCAGGUGGAGCUCACUCACCUGCUGCCCUUGACCCUGCCACAACACUGCACCCUCUGCCUGUCCUCAGAGCACUCAGGAGGCAGACACCGGCACCACCUUGUUGUCAGCUGGGACGGCAGGGACCAGGUGCAGCUUGCCUGGAACAGGGGACAACCUGUGACCCUGCAGCUCACCUGGGCUGACAGGUCCUCUGUGCACAGCACCAUCUGGGACAGCUGCCUGGCUG